rnacentral:rRNA from 1 species
UACAGAGGUCUCAAGCGUUGUUCGGAUUCAUUGGGCGUAAAGGGUGCGUAGGCGGCGCGGUAAGUCGGGUGUGAAAUCCCGAGGCUCAACCUCGGGUCUGCAGUCGAUACGGGCAAACUAGAGUAUUGCAGGGGAGACUGGAAUUCCUGGUGUAGCGGUGAAAUGCGCAGAUAUCAGGAGGAACACCGGUGGCGAAGGCGGGUCUCUGGGCAAUAACUGACGCUGAGGAGCGAAAGCGUGGGGAGCGAACAGG